rnacentral:rRNA from 1 species
UACGUAGGGUGCAAGCGUUGUCCGGAAUCAUUGGGCGUAAAGAGCGCGUAGGCGGUCCGGUAAGUCCGCUCUGAAAGCCCGGGGCUCAACCCCGGGAGGCGGGUGGAUACUGUCAAGCUCGAGUCCGGAAGAGGAGUGUGGAAUUCCUGGUGUAGCGGUGAAAUGCGCAGAUAUCAGGAGGAACACCGGUGGCGAAGGCGGGUCUCUGGGCCGAAAUUGACGCUGAGGAGCGAAAGCGUGGGGAGCAAACAGG